CUCGCGGAGUGGACACUUUGGUGGGGGAGACAGAUGUCCAGAAGGACACGCCAUCCAGACACAUAAUCUUGUGAGGGUGAGAGCUCACAUGGUGCUCUGAGUGACAAGGACAGUGGCUGCUCUGUUUGGAGGCUUGGAGAGGCCUCUCUGAGGAGAGGAUGUUUAGGGCAUAGACCUGGUGGUUUCAAGGCUCUUCUGGCACCCGUGAUGAGGAAAGCUGUGAUUCUGUGGCCCCUCUGGCAUUUCCUGGACCUUCGGGCUUCUGAGUCUAUUUGAACUUCAUGGCCAGGUGCCUCUCACUAAUGAAAGGGCCUCCACUGAGAUUUCCUUGGGAACAAAGGAGAGCUCAGUUGUUCUUGAGGCCUCAAAGGGGCCCCUGAGGCAGGCCUGAUGCCCGGCUGUGUGCAAGGACCAGAGGAGUGGCUGCCCAGCCUGGAGGCAGGUGCUGGCUGGACUGACCUCCUGGGACCCACUUAAGCUUUCUACAAACAACACAUCAUCUGGGCUGAGUGGGGGGUUCUCGGGGCAAAAAAAAAAAAAAAAGUCUUCUACGGAAGCUGCCUUGUGACUUGGCCCUGAGCUCAGGCAGGGUGGGGACCCUGAGCACCAGAGAGGUCAUUGUUCCGUGAAAGCCAAGGCGGCAACCCCUCCCUCUUCCCCUUCUUGUGCUUGGAACCUCCAGACCCCUGGACUCCCAGGGGAGCCCAGGGAGUCAGUGUAUGAGGUGCUGAAGCCAAGUCCUUCCAGAGCUUGGGGGAAGGUCAGUUGGUUUAUAAAUCACCUGAAUUUCAUCAGGGUCACCAUGGGGGAGCUUCAUGCAUUUUUCAA
rnacentral:lncRNA from 1 species